rnacentral:lncRNA from 1 species
GUUAGAGACAUCAGCUGAAGAAGCAGAUUCAAGCAGUUUGGUAGGAUCGAUAUUCAGUAAUGUUGAUGCUUUAGCUGACCUGCUUGAAGAAGAGAAGAGAGCGUUUUCACACAUUCACAUCAUUCAUGGAUCUAUUUGGAAAUCUCAAGGUUGGCAUGUCAUGGAUUUAACAUUAUAUGUGGUAAUGAAAAUAUUCCCACUAACACGACGUUUUUAUAAGCUUUAAUAUGAAUGGAGUUACAUCUUUGUCAUCAUGUCUUCGAGUUCGAGGGCACGAAUAAAGUGUAAGCCGAUAUAUACCUUCCGAUUGCUUCAACGCGCUUAACUGGUGUCGGUAUGGGUAACACCCCUUUGUCUUUGGCGGGUAUCGAUGGAGGUAUGGAAGAACCAAAGGGCUUACAACCAUCCCCGUCUAGGAGGACAUUCUUGCAGUUGAAGGAUUCAAAAUGGCCAUGAUCAUAAUACGUACACGAAUCAAGCUGGAGGGUCUGAGUGCUGCCCACAAGAGAGUUCAAACAAUUCGGCAGUGUUGAAAUGCUUCCAUCAGCGUUCCUUACCAUCACCGGAGUGAACUUAUCCUGUAUGUCAGUGGAAUAAAGGCUGUAGACGUGUGACAG